rnacentral:rRNA from 2 species
UCAUUAAUUUGAGAGUUUGAUCCUGGCUCAGGACGAACGCUGGCGGCGUGCCUAAUACAUGCAAGUCGAACGAACUCUGGUAUUGAUUGGUGCUUGCAUCAUGAUUUACAUUUGAGUGAGUGGCGAACUGGUGAGUAACACGUGGGAAACCUGCCCAGAAGCGGGGGAUAACACCUGGAAACAGAUGCUAAUACCGCAUAACAACUUGGACCGCAUGGUCCGAGCUUGAAAGAUGGCUUCGGCUAUCACUUUUGGAUGGUCCCGCGGCGUAUUAGCUAGAUGGUGGGGUAACGGCUCACCAUGGCAAUGAUACGUAGCCGACCUGAGAGGGUAAUCGGCCACAUUGGGACUGAGACACGGCCCAAACUCCUACGGGAGGCAGCAGUAGGGAAUCUUCCACAAUGGACGAAAGUCUGAUGGAGCAACGCCGCGUGAGUGAAGAAGGGUUUCGGCUCGUAAAACUCUGUUGUUAAAGAAGAACAUAUCUGAGAGUAACUGUUCAGGUAUUGACGGUAUUUAACCAGAAAGCCACGGCUAACUACGUGCCAGCAGCCGCGGUAAUACGUAGGUGGCAAGCGUUGUCCGGAUUUAUUGGGCGUAAAGCGAGCGCAGGCGGUUUUUUAAGUCUGAUGUGAAAGCCUUCGGCUCAACCGAAGAAGUGCAUCGGAAACUGGGAAACUUGAGUGCAGAAGAGGACAGUGGAACUCCAUGUGUAGCGGUGAAAUGCGUAGAUAUAUGGAAGAACACCAGUGGCGAAGGCGGCUGUCUGGUCUGUAACUGACGCUGAGGCUCGAAAGUAUGGGUAGCAAACAGGAUUAGAUACCCUGGUAGUCCAUACCGUAAACGAUGAAUGCUAAGUGUUGGAGGGUUUCCGCCCUUCAGUGCUGCAGCUAACGCAUUAAGCAUUCCGCCUGGGGAGUACGGCCGCAAGGCUGAAACUCAAAGGAAUUGACGGGGGCCCGCACAAGCGGUGGAGCAUGUGGUUUAAUUCGAAGCUACGCGAAGAACCUUACCAGGUCUUGACAUACUAUGCAAAUCUAAGAGAUUAGACGUUCCCUUCGGGGACAUGGAUACAGGUGGUGCAUGGUUGUCGUCAGCUCGUGUCGUGAGAUGUUGGGUUAAGUCCCGCAACGAGCGCAACCCUUAUUAUCAGUUGCCAGCAUUAAGUUGGGCACUCUGGUGAGACUGCCGGUGACAAACCGGAGGAAGGUGGGGAUGACGUCAAAUCAUCAUGCCCCUUAUGACCUGGGCUACACACGUGCUACAAUGGAUGGUACAACGAGUUGCGAACUCGCGAGAGUAAGCUAAUCUCUUAAAGCCAUUCUCAGUUCGGAUUGUAGGCUGCAACUCGCCUACAUGAAGUCGGAAUCGCUAGUAAUCGCGGAUCAGCAUGCCGCGGUGAAUACGUUCCCGGGCCUUGUACACACCGCCCGUCACACCAUGAGAGUUUGUAACACCCAAAGUCGGUGGGGUAACCUUUUAGGAACCAGCCGCCUAAGGUGGGACAGAUGAUUAGGGUGAAGUCGUAACAAGGUAGCCGUAGGAGAACCUGCGGCUGGAUCACCUCCUUUCUAAGGA